rfam:Clostridium hiranonis DSM 13275 Scfld3 genomic scaffold, whole genome shotgun sequence.
GGAAAAGCUUUUUUAAAAGCUACACAAUAUUUAAUAUAUCUUAAUU